rnacentral:rRNA from 1 species
UACGUAGGGUGCAAGCGUUAAUCGGAAUUACUGGGCGUAAAGCGUGCGCAGGCGGUUCUAUAAGACAGAUGUGAAAUCCCCGGGCUCAACCUGGGAACUGCAUUUGUGACUGUAGAGCUGGAGUGCGGCAGAGGGGGAUGGAAUUCCGCGUGUAGCAGUGAAAUGCGUAGAUAUGCGGAGGAACACCGAUGGCGAAGGCAAUCCCCUGGGCCUGCACUGACGCUCAUGCACGAAAGCGUGGG